rnacentral:rRNA from 1 species
GGAAUAUUGGACAAUGGGCGAAAGCCUGAUCCAGCCAUGCCGCGUGUGUGAAGAAGGUCUUCGGAUUGUAAAGCACUUUAAGUUGGGAGGAAGGGCAGUUACCUAAUACGUGAUUGUUUUGACGUUACCGACAGAAUAAGCACCGGCUAACUCUGUGCCAGCAGCCGCGGUAAUACAGAGGGUGCAAGCGUUAAUCGGAAUUACUGGGCGUAAAGCGCGCGUAGGUGGUUAGUUAAGUUGGAUGUGAAAUCCCCGGGCUCAACCUGGGAACUGCAUUCAAAACUGACUGACUAGAGUAUGGUAGAGGGUGGUGGAAUUUCCUGUGUAGCGGUGAAAUGCGUAGAUAUAGGAAGGAACACCAGUGGCGAAGGCGACCACCUGGACUGAUACUGACACUGAGGUGCGAAAGCGUGGGGAGCAAAC